ACCUGCUGGCUGCGACUGAGAGACAAGAC
rnacentral:piRNA from 1 species